UCAUCAAAGUGACUGUGAUGUGUUUCAGUUUGUUAACCAUAUCACAGCCUGCUUUGAUGAGA
rnacentral:pre_miRNA from 1 species